AAAACAUUAGGGAACAUCUUAUUUUAUUGCCAAAAAAUUUGCAGUAAAGAAAUGUUACACGCAAUUUCAUUUCUUUUACGGGGCUUGGGACUUCUACUCCUUUACAUUCUCAUAUUGUUGCAAAUUGUUCACCAUGGUACACCGAUCGUAAUCACAUGGUGUUCGCUCAACGUCUUCAUUGCAUUCGCGAUGUAUGCAAUGGAUGAAAACGAAUCACAUCUGACAGAGCAAAAUACUAAUACGGUUGUGCAUCGAUAUUAAUAGUAUACCUCAGCAUCAACGAAAUGGACGAGUUAAAUAAAUCAUUGUGUAUUGUGCACAUGCAGCAUCCUAACCUAAAAUCUCGACGAAAAUAAGGGGAAGAUGCAAUAUGAGCCAAAUGUGAGGAGUUCGAUGAACCUUCGUCGUAUUGACUGAAAAUACCAUAAUAUCAUGGCUGUCAAAAUUUGUGGAAUUGUUCCUUGCAAGCAUCCGUGGUGUUUGUUAAUAAUAUAUUCUAAAAUGAAAUAUUCUAAAUUUUUUCUAAAAUAGAUUAUACGAAAGUUUACCUAUAUAUAUAUACAAAUCUAAA